AACGAACGCUGGCGGCAGGCCUAACACAUGCAAGUCGAACGCUGUAGCAAUACAGAGUGGCAGACGGGUGAGUAACGCGUGGGAACCUUCCCAAUGGUACGGAAUAGCUCAGGGAAACUUGAGGUAAUACCGUAUAAGCCCCUAGGGGGAAAGAUUUAUCGCCAUUGGAUGGGCCCGCGUCGGAUUAGCUAGUUGGUAGGGUAAUGGCCUACCAAGGCAACGAUCCGUAGCUGGUUUGAGAGAAUGACCAGCCACACUGGGACUGAGACACGGCCCAGACUCCUACGGGAGGCAGCAGUGGGGAAUCUUGGACAAUGGGCGAAAGCCUGAUCCAGCCAUGCCGCGUGAGUGACGAAGGCCUUAGGGUUGUAAAGCUCUUUUGCCGGGGACGAUAAUGACGGUACCCGGAGAAUAAGUCCCGGCUAACUUCGUGCCAGCCGCCGCCGUAAAAC
rnacentral:rRNA from 1 species